GUGAUAUAUGAUAAUGUAACAAAUAAUAAGAAAAGCAAAAUAAUUGUAUAUAUUAACCAUCUUAAGACCCAAGCACUUUGUAUGUUGGACUAUAAGAUUCAGAACACAUGUGGUUUUGACUAGUCUACAAGUUUUAAGGUAGCACUACAGUCAGACUUUUCUAACUCCAACCAACAGUAUUUAAAAAUUAAUUUCUCCUAAACUAAUGUAUGGAUUUUUAU
rnacentral:lncRNA from 1 species